AUUGAACGCUGGCGGCAGGCCUAACACAUGCAAGUCGAGCGGAUGAAGGGAGCUUGCUCCUGGAUUCAGCGUCGGACGGGUGAGUAAUGCCUAGGAAUCUGCCUGGUAGUGGGUUAUAACGUCCGGAAACGGGCGCUAAUACCGCAUACUUCCUGAGGCAGCAAGUGGGGGAUCUUCGGACCUCACGCUAUCAUAUGAGCCUAGGUCGGAUUAGCUAGUUUGUGGGUUAAGGCCUGCCAAGGCGACGAUCCGUAACUGGGCUGAGAGGAUGAUCAGUCACACUGGAACUGAGACACGGUCCAGAGUCCUAAGGGAGGCAGCAGUCGGGAAUAUUGGACAAUGGGCGAAAGUAUGAUACAGCCAUGCCGCGUGUGUGAAGAAGGUCUUCGGAUUGUAAAGAACUUUAAGUUGGGAGGAAGGGCAGUAAGUUAAUACCUUGCUGUAUUGACGUUAACAACAGAAUAAGCACCGGCUAACUUCGUG
rnacentral:rRNA from 1 species